rnacentral:rRNA from 1 species
UACAGAGGGGGCGAGCGUUGUUCGGAAUUACUGGGCGUAAAGGGUUCGUAGGUGGCUUGUUAAGUCAGACGUGAAAUCCCUCAGCUUAACUGGGGAACUGCGUCUGAGACUGGUGAGCUUGAGUGCAGGAGAGGAACGCGGAAUUCCAGGUGUAGCGGUGAAAUGCGUAGAUAUCUGGAGGAACACCUGUGGUGUAGACAGCUUACUGGACCACUUCUGACGCUGAGACACGAAAGCGUGGGUAGCAAACAGG